AGUGAAUAGAUACCCGGGUAGUCCUAGCCGUAAACGAUACUCGCUAGGUGUCGGCCACGGUGCGACCGUUGUCGGUGCCGUAGGGAAAGCCGUGAAGCGAGCCACCUGGGAAGUACGGCCGCAAGGCUGAAACUUAAAGGAAUUGGCGGGGGAGCACCACAACGGGUGGAGCUUGCGGUUUAAUUGGAUUCAACGCCGGAAAUCUUACCGGGACCGACAGCAAUAUGAAGGCCAGGCUGAAGACUUUGCCGGAUUAGCUGAGAGGUGGUGCAUGGCCGUCGUCAGUUCGUACUGUGAAAGCAUCCUGUUAAGUCAGGCAACGAGCGAGACCCACGCCACAGUUGCCAGCGUACUCUCCGGAGUGACGGGUACACUGUGGGGACCGCCGCUGCUAAAGCGGAGGAAGGAAUGGGCAACGGUAGGUCAGUAUGCCCCGAAUAUCCCGGGCUACACGCGAGCUACAAUGGUUGGUACAAUGGGUAUCUACCCCGAAAGGGGAUGGAAAUCUCCUAAAGCCAAUCUUAGUUCGGAUUGAGGGCUGCAACUCGCCCUC
rnacentral:rRNA from 1 species